UUAGUAGAAGCCAAAACAGCGGCUAUUCACUGUUAAUGAAUUAAUUGAACUAUCCUAUUAAA
rnacentral:tRNA from 1 species